GGUAGUCCACGCCGUAAACGAUGCGAACUAGAUGUUGGGUGCAAUUUGGCACGCAGUAUCGAAGCUAACGCGUUAAGUUCGCCGCCUGGGGAGUACGGUCGCAAGACUGAAACUCAAAGGAAUUGACGGGGGCCCGCACAAGCGGUGGAGUAUGUGGUUUAAUUCGAUGCAACGCGAAGAACCUUACUUGGUCUUGACAUCCACGGAACUUUCCAGAGAUGGAUUGGUGCCUUCGGGAACCGUGAGACAGGUGCUGCAUGGCUGUCGUCAGCUCGUGUUGUGAAAUGUUGGGUUAAGUCCCGCAACGAGCGCAACCCUUAUCCUUUGUUGCCAGCGAUUCGGUCGGGAACUCAAAGGAGACUGCCGGUGAUAAACCGGAGGAAGGUGGGGAUGACGUCAAGUCAUCAUGGCCCUUACGAGUAGGGCUACACACGUGCUACAAUGGCGCAUACAAAGAGAAGCGACCUCGCGAGAGCAAGCGGACCUCACAAAGUGCGUCGUAGUCCGGAUCGGAGUCUGCAACUCGACUCCGUGAAGUCGGAAUCGCUAGUAAUCGUGGAUCAGAAUGCCACGGUGAAUACGUUCCCGGGCCUUGUACACACCGCCCGUCACACCAUGGGAGUGGGUUGCAAAAGAAGUAGGUAGCUUAACCUUCGGGAGGGCGCUUACCACUUUGUGAUUCAUGACUGGGGUGAAGUCGUAACAAGGUAACC
rnacentral:rRNA from 1 species